rnacentral:rRNA from 1 species
UCGAGAAUCUUCCACAAUGGACGAAAGUCUGAUGGAGCGACACCGCGUGACUGAUGAAGCAUUUCGGUGUGUAAAGGUCUUUUAUGAGGGAUGACAUUGCGACAGUACCUCAUGAAUAAGGGGCUGCUAAUCACGUGCCAGCAGCAGCGGUAAUACGUGAGCCCCGAGCGUUAUCCGGAAUUACUGGGCGUAAAGAGUGCGUAGGCGGUUGUGUUAGUCUUCUGUUUAAUCCUUCGGCUCAACCGAAGAACCGCAGAGGAAACGGCACAACUGGAGCGUGUGAGAGGUGAGUGGAACUCAUGGUGUAGGGGUGAAAUCCGUUGAUAUCAUGGGGAACACCAAAUGCGAAGGCAGCUCACUGGCACAUUGCUGACGCUGAGGCACGAAAGCGUGGGUAGCGAAUGGGAUUAGAUACCCCCGUAGUCC